rnacentral:rRNA from 1 species
GAUGAACGCUGGCGGCGUGCCUAAUACAUGCCAGUCGAGCGAACGGACGAGAAGCUUGCUUCUCUGAUGUUAGCGGCGGACGGGUGAGUAACACGUGGAUAACCUACCUAUAAGACUGGGAUAACUUCGGGAAACCGGAGCUAAUACCGGAUGAUAUUUUGAACCGCACGGUUCAAAAGUGAAAGACGGUCUUGCUGUCACUUAUAGAUGGAUCCGCGCUGCAUUAGCUAGUUGGUAAGGUAACGGCUUACCAAGGCAACGAUGCAUAGCCGACCUGAGAGGGUGAUCGGCCACACUGGAACUGAGACACGGUCCAGACUCCUACGGGAGGCAGCAGUAGGGAAUCUUCCGCAAUGGGCGAGAGCCUGACGGAGCAACGCCGCGUGAGUGAUGAAGGUCUUCGGAUCGUAAAACUCUGUUAUUAGGGAAGAACAUAUGUGUAAGUAACUGUGCACAUCUUGACGGUACCUAAUCAGAAAGCCACGGCUAACUACGUG